GCCUGGCUGGCUCAGUUGGUGGAGCGUGCGACUCUUGAUCUCAGGGUUGUGGGUUUGAGCCCCACACUGGGUA
rnacentral:tRNA from 1 species